GAGCCCCCGCCGCCUGCCCGCCGCCAUCGGCCCGCCGGGCGCCGCCCCGAGCCCGCCUCCGGGGAGGUGCCGCCAAGCCUGAGGCGGCGACCCCAAGGCUGAGGGGACGCCCCUGAAUCUGAGGGGACGCCCCAAAACCUGAGGGGGCCGCUGGAGGAGCGGGGUGGCGGGGUAGGGGGUGGUUGUGCCUCAGUGCUGAGCGCUGGGUAUGUGGGGUGCAUGGGAUUGCCCCGAGCGUGCUAGCAUCAGGAUCUCAGGAGAAAAGUAACUGUGGUGAAAAACAGAUGGAGAGAAAACACUCCAGAUAGACAGAGUGGGAAGAUAACACGGUUUCCAUACACCGGGAAACCAGUAUAUUGUUUUCUACGGAAUGGAGAAAUGCCUCCAAUCCUCCUUGUCACCUUUUUUCCCAAUUCUACUCUGUCUUUUUGAGAAGAGGGGCCCAGACUUUGAAGAUACAGAACCGUUCUGCAAAGGAACCCUGUGAAAUGGCCUCCUUUCUUUUUUGAUCUCUAAAGCAAUAGCCCAUUCUCCUCCACCAGGAAACACCACAAAUUCCUCCUCCUGCCCCAUCAACUUUUUGGAGCUUUCUGAAGCCCAAAGGAGCGUUAGAUAAAAGGAUUAUUUUUUUUCUUUCUGAUUUAGAUGCUGCUUCUGUAUUCUGUGUACCUCCUUUAAUAGAGUAAAGGAGGUUACUCAACACGAGAAGUAAAUUAAACGCUUCCCGAAUCUGGUUUGUCAGCUUUUAUUCAAACAAAAUGCCCAUUGAAUUCAGUUCCUAAGUAGGGGCUGAGGAUUGGGUCUGUUCUCAUGUUACUGACAACAGUGUUUACCUUUCGAGUUCAGUUUACCGAUUAUCAUGUACCAAAAAUGUUUACUUUUUGGCUUUAGACUUUGUCUCUUAGCAGAGCAAGGAAAAACAUCUAAGUUCAAAACAAAAUCUUUUCGAUGGUGAGGAGAACGGCACAGAAGAAUUAUUAUAUUAACUGUUCAUUACAUGUGAGGAAGAUAUUCCUGCCAACUCUGUCUACAUUUUCUUCAGAAAUAUGAGAUAUCAGUUUGAUAGAUGGCCAAAUAAGCAAAAGACAUAAUCUGCUUUAUACCUCCUAAAAUGUCACCUGUUUUUUAUUUCCUUUAGUUUUCUGGCCAUUCUUUUCUAGAAGGAAGGCAAGGAAAAGUACCUAACCUUCUCUUACUCUCCUAGUAUGUAGAGCAUACCAUAACAUCAGAAAGAUUAAUUCUCGCAUGCAUUUCGAUUUUGCUAAUCUGUUAAAUAAUUUAAUAAUACGCAUUGUGUAGUCUCUAGGUGUAACUUAGCAUAAUGAAAGGAAAAGAAAUAAAAACAUGUCUCAAAUGGAAACCUGAGCAGAAAGCUUGAGCUUCAUCCUCUCCUGUGAGGCAGUCAACUUCUUUGUUACAGACAUUCUUAUUUGGAAUACAUAUAUUUGACCGACAGUGGAAACUGUUGUUUCUGCAU